rnacentral:miRNA from 1 species
GAAUGUUGUCUGGCUCGA